CCAGACUCCUACGGGAGGCAGCAGUGAGGAAUAUUGGUCAAUGGGCGCGAGCCUGAACCAGCCAAGUCGCGUGAGGGAUGACGGCCCUACGGGUUGUAAACCUCUUUUGUCGGGGAGCAAAUUCCGUUACGUGUAACGGAGUCGAGAGUACCCGAAGAAAAAGCAUCGGCUAACUCCGUGCCAGCAGCCGCGGUAAUACGGAGGAUGCGAGCGUUAUCCGGAUUUAUUGGGUUUAAAGGGUGCGUAGGCGGCAUUAUAAGUUAGUGGUAAAAUAUUGGGGCUUCACCUCACUACGCCAUUAAUACUGUAGAGCUAGAGAACAGACGAGGUAGGCGGAAUAAGUUAAGUAGCGGUGAAAUGCAUAGAUAUAACUUAGAACACCGAUAGCGAAGGCAGCUUACCAGACUGAGUCUGACGCUGAUGCACGAGAGCAUGGGUAGCGAACAGGAUUAGAUACCCCGGUAU
rnacentral:rRNA from 1 species